rnacentral:rRNA from 1 species
AGAGUUUGAUCAUGGCUCAGGACGAACGCUGGCGGCGUGCCUAACACAUGCAAGUCGAACGGAGUAUUCAGCAAUGGAUACUUAGUGGCGAACGGGUGAGUAACGCGUAGACAACCUACCUUCUAGCUGGGGACAACACUGCGAAAGUGGUGCUAAUACCGAAUGUUGUAUUUGUGGUGCAUACUAUAGAUACUAAAGGCGGCCUCUAUUUAUAAGCUGUCACUAGAAGAUGGGUCUGCGUCUGAUUAGCUAGUUGGUGAGGUAAUGGCUCACCAAGGCGACGAUCAGUAGCCGGUCUGAGAGGAUGAACGGCCACACUGGGACUGAGACACGGCCCAGACUCCUACGGGAGGCAGCAGUGGGGAAUCUUCCGCAAUGGACGCAAGUCUGACGGAGCAACGCCGCGUGAGUGAAGAAGGUUUUCGGAUCGUAAAACUCUGUUUUCAGGGACGAAUGUGCUACUUAGUAAUACGAAGUAGUAAUGACGGUACCUGAGUAGAAAGCCACGGCUAACUACGUGCCAGCAGCCGCGGUAAUACGUAGGUGGCAAGCGUUGUCCGGAAUUAUUGGGCGUAAAGCGCGCGCAGGUGGGAUAUUAAGUCUGGUGUAAAAGAUCGGGGCUCAACCCCGUUAAGCAUUUGGAAACUGAUAUUCUUGAGUGCAGGAGAGGAAAGUGGAAUUCCUAGUGUAGCGGUGAAAUGCGUAGAUAUUAGGAGGAACACCAGUGGCGAAGGCGACUUUCUGGACUGUGUCUGACACUGAGGCGCGAAAGCUAGGGAAGUGAACAGGAUUAGAUACCCU